CCUACGGGUGGCAGCAGUGGGGAAUAUUGCGCAAUGGGCGAAAGCCUGACGCAGCGACGUCGCGUGAGGGAUGAAGGUCCUAGGAUCGUAAACCUCUGUCAGCAGGGAAGAACGGUCACUGUGCUAUUCAGCAGUGAAUUGACGGUACCUGCAAAGGACGCACCGGCUAACUCCGUGCCAGCAGCCGCGGUAAUACGGCGGGUGCGAGCGUUAAUCGGAAUUACUGGGCGUAAAGCGCUCGUAGGCGGUAUGUCAAGUCAAGGGUGAAAUCCCCGCGCCCAACGUGGGAACUGCCUUUGAGACUGGCAAACUGGAGUGUGUGAGAGGAUAGUGGAAUUCCAGGUGUAGGGGUGA
rnacentral:rRNA from 1 species